rnacentral:rRNA from 1 species
UACAGGGGGGCAAGCGUUGUUCGGAAUUACUGGGCGUAAAGGGCUCGUAGGUGGCCAACUAAGUCAGACGUGAAAUCCCUCAGCUUAACUGGGGAACUGCGUCUGAUACUGGAUGGCUUGAGUUUGGGAGAGGGAUGCGGAAUUCCAGGUGUAGCGGUGAAAUGCGUAGAUAUCUGGAGGAACACCGGUGGCGAAGGCGGCAUUCUGGACCAUAACUGACACUGAGAGACGAAAGCCAGGGGAGCAAACGGG